UCCCUCAGUAAUGGCGAAUGAACAGGGAUCAGCUCACCUUGGAAAUUGGGGCCCUCGGCCUUGAAUUGUACUCUCGAGAUGCAUCGCCAAGGGAGGCGCACAUGUCCGCCUCUUGUAAAACAGCAUCAACGAGGGUGAGAGUCCCGUUUGUCCUCUGCUGUCCCCCAUGCACGGCGUGCCUUCCUGCUUCCCGUUCCUCGGAAUUGGAGCGAAAAUUGGGUGGUAAAUUUCAUCUCUCCUAAAUAUUGGUUCGAGACCGAUAACAAACAAGUACCAUGAGGGAAAGGUGAAAAGGACUUUGAACAUUUGUUAAAAGUGCCUGAAAUUGCUGAAUCGGAAAAAAUGGAACCAGUGUUGCUUGGCAACAUUGUCAUACGCAUUCGCGUGUGGUGGUUCUUGCCUUGUGUGUCAACGCCAGUUCGCGAUCCACGAAAACUCUUGGCACAUGGUAGCCUGUCUUCUGGAGGGUGAAGGUGCCUUGUAUAACUCCUUUGCGAAAUGAUUACUUCGUGUCUGGUUGCACCGCUUCUUGUAGCUUGGACAUGCUUGGGCGUGGGGUACUUGCUCCUCGACCCAGGCGCUCUGGUGACUGGCCGCUUCCCUGACCCAUAUUGGAUGACUAAAUGGUUCUUUUCUACCCGUCUUGAAUUGGGAACCAAUUGACA
rnacentral:rRNA from 1 species